UACGGAGGGUGCGAGCGUUGUCCGGAAUCAUUGGGCGUAAAGAGCGCGUAGGCGGCUUGUCGCGUCGGCUGUGAAAACCUGGGGCUCAACCCCGGGCCUGCAGCCGAUACGGGCAAGCGUAGAAUUCGGUAGGGGAGACUGGAAUUCCUGGUGUAGCGGUGAAAUGCGCAGAUAUCAGGAGGAACACCGGUGGCGAAGGCGGGUCUCUGGGCCGAUAUUGACGCUGAGGAGCGAAAGCGUGGGGAGCGAACAGG
rnacentral:rRNA from 1 species